rnacentral:rRNA from 1 species
CCUUUUGGUCCUUGACGCGUUAUUGUUUAUAACCUAAUUACACAUGCAAGUCUCCGCACGCCAGUGAGAAGCCCAAUAGACUCAUACGAGUUAGGGAGAAGGCAUCAGGCACGCCAUGUGUAGCCAAUUACGCCACGCAGACGCCACACCCACACGGGCCUCAGCAGUGAACAAUAUUAAAUUAUAAGUGAAAACUUGAUUUAGUUAAGAUUAAAAACAGCCGGUAAAUCUCGUGCCAGCCACCGCGGUUAUACGAGGGGCCAAAAACAAUAACAGCCGGCGUAAAGCGUGACCAAAGUGACACCAAUAUAUUAGGGGGGAAUUAAUCCUAAGCUGUGAAACCCACAAGAAACAAGAACCCCACCUACCCUUAAUAAAAAGAUAGCCUGAAUUCACGAAAGCUGAGAUACAAACUGGGAUUAGAUACCCCACUAUGCUCAGCCCUAAACUUAAACAGCCAGAAAUAUUAAGCUGUUCGCCAGGGGACUACGGGCAAAAGCUUGAAACCCAAAGGACUUGGCGGUGCCCAACACCAAACUAGAGGAGCCUGUCCCAUAAUCGAUAAUCCACGAUAAACCUUACCCCCAUUUGAUAAUCCAGCCUAUAUACCGCCGUCGCCAGCUUACCCCAUGAGGGUAUAGUAGUAAGCACAGUAGUAUGCGCAAACACGCCAGGUCAAGGUGUAGCAUAUGUGGGGGAGGAGAUGGGCUACAUUUCCAAAACCGACAAACACGAAAGGCCACAUGAAAACUGAGCCAGAAGGUGGAUUUAGCAGUAAAGCAGAUAAGACCCUCUACUUGAAGAGAGCUCUAAGGCACGCACACACCGCCCGUCACCCUCCUCAGAGCAGUCGAAACAUU